AUUCCAGCUCCAAUAGCGUAUAUUAAAGUUGUUGCAGUUAAAAAGCUCGUAGUUGGAUUUCUGGCGGGGACCCGGGUACCCCUGGUGGGUGUGCUCGGGCCCGGCCAUCCUUCUGUCAACUUUCGCGCGUCCUUCACCGGUCGGCAAAGGGAUCAGAUAAUUUACCUUGAGAAAAUUAGAGUGUUUCAGGCAGGCUUAGCCGGAAUACAUUAGCAUGGAAUAAUGGAAUAGGACUGAGGUCUCGUUGUUGGUUACGCGGACUACAGUAAUGAUUAAUAGGGACAGUUGGGGGCAUUAGUAUUUAUUAGCUAGAGGUGGAAUUCUCUAAUUUGAUAAAGACUAACUUAUGCGAAAGCAUUUGCCAAGGAUGUUUUCAUUG
rnacentral:rRNA from 1 species